UUCACUAACUGCUUAGUCAUAACGUUGUAAUGGAGUGGGUAAAGAACUGUGAUACUUGUGCUAGAUGUAAAGGAGAAGUUGUUCACUUCCUGGAUUGCUGCAACCUUUGCCUAUUCCCACUCAACUUGUAAGUAAUUAUCUAUCGAUUCUACAUAGCACUCGCCCAAGUUUAGAAGCAAGGAUGCCAUCCUCGUAGUAGUUUGAAAAUUUACCAAAUAUGGACACCUUUUGCCUUUAUCUCAUCCCAUUUUUG
rnacentral:misc_RNA from 1 species